rnacentral:rRNA from 1 species
GUGGGGAAUAUUGGUCAAUGGGGGAAACCCUGAACCAGCAACGCCGCGUGAAGGAAGAAGGCUUUCGGGUUGUAAACUUCUUUGACUGGGGACGAAAGCAAUGACGGUACCCUGAAAACAAGCCACGGCUAACUACGUGCCAGCAGCCGCGGUAAUACGUAGGUGGCGAGCGUUGUCCGGAUUUACUGGGUGUAAAGGGCGUGUAGGCGGGGCGGUAAGUCAGAUGUGAAAUGUAGGGGCUCAACCCCUGAAUUGCAUUUGAAACUAUCGUUCUUGAGUGAUGGAGAGGCAGGCGGAAUUCCGUGUGUAGCGGUGAAAUGCGUAGAUAUACGGAGGAACACCAGUGGCGAAGGCGGCCUGCUGGACAUUAACUGACGCUGAGGCGCGAAAGCGUGGGGAGCAAACAGGAUUAGAAACCCGUGUAGUCC